rnacentral:rRNA from 1 species
UACGUAGGCAGCGAGCGUUGUUCGGAGUUACUGGGCGUAAAGAGUGCGUAGGCGGUUUUCUAAGUUUGGUGUGAAAUCUCCCGGCUUAACUGGGAGGGUGCGCCGAAGACUGGAAGGCUUGAGUAUGGGAGAGGUAAGCGGAAUUCCUGGUGUAGCGGUGAAAUGCGUAGAUAUCUGGAGGAAUACCGGUGGCGAAGGCGGCAUCCUGGACCGACAUUGACGCUGAUGAGCGAAAGCUAGGGGAGCAAACGGG